rnacentral:misc_RNA from 1 species
GACCAACCAAAUAAACAGAGUAGUAUUGCAAAUUAAAAUUGAACCACAUACAGGAAUUUGGGAUGGAAUAAUGGUGAACCAAAAAAAUCUCUUAGAUCACAUCAGAAUUCAGAACCAACAAAAAAGAACCUGGAAAAUGAAUAUUCAGUUGCUAAACAAGCUCGAUAUAUGCCAUCGGUGCAUUGUCCCCUCGCCUUGGUAGAGUUCUUAUUAUUCUAGUGUAUCCUCCAUUCCUCUCUCCAUAUCUUUCGGGAACUUCAGCAAACAAUGCAUGCACUAUCUGCUUCUCAUAGAUGAACCCAAGAGCUUGCCUUCUCUUAUGAAGAGAGCCAUCCUUCGCCAUUGUGACCAUUUUGUCUACAUAUUUUCUCACCGCCCUGGCCCUCGCUUUAGUGGUCUUUAUACGCCCAUGCUUGAGGAGCUGAGUUGUGAGACCUCUCAGAAGUGCUCGGCGCUGAUCAGGAGGUCUAUUCAGUUUGGGCACCUUCCUGCCAUGUCUCAUGGCAAAAACUCGGCCACCACUAUCAAUAAUGGUGAAUGAGUCCUCAAAACUUUUUGAGUCUUGAGAAGAAAGGGACAAAAGUGGAUGCAGGGGAGCAAGACCCACGAAGGACUGAAUAAUUGUUGAACUGGACUUGGGUUUGCAAAUCCUGAGACGAGAUGGAGAAGACCCAGAAGAGAAUCUAAGUGAUGAGUUUGAAAUUGGUUGAACUGUAGGGAGAGCCGAUUUCAAGCAAGACAUGCUCCAAGUUGCAGAAGCCAUAUCUUCCUAACUUUGAUUUCUUGCUUCUCUGCUUAUGUUCCGAAUGAGCUGUGGGUUUAUCUGAAUGGAUAAGUGAACUUUU